CGACUAAGCGCAUACGGUGGAUGCCUUGGCAGUCAGAGGCGAUGAAAGACGUGGAAGCCUGCGAUAAGGCUCGGGGAGCUGGCAAACAAGCUGUGAUCCGGGCAUUUCUGAAUGGGGAAACCCACCGACUUUCGGGUCGGUAUCUUGCACUGAAUACAUAGGUGUAAGAGGCGAACCGGGGGAACUGAAACAUCUAAGUACCCCGAGGAAAAGAAAUCAACCGAGAUUCCCUAAGUAGCGGCGAGCGAACGGGGACUAGCCCUUAAGCUAGACAACUGGUAGGAGAAGGCUCUGGAAAGUGCCGCCAUAGUGGGUGAUAGCCCCGUAUCCGAAACCUGAGUCCAGUGAAAUCGAGUAGGACGGGACACGAGACAUCCUGUCUGAACAUGGGGGGACCACCCUCCAAGCCUAAAUACUCGUAUGUGACCGAUAGCGAACCAGUACCGUGAGGGAAAGGUGAAAAG
rnacentral:rRNA from 1 species